rnacentral:tRNA from 1 species
GUUACUAAAGCCAAAAAUAGAGGCAGUGAUUUUGUAAAUCACCUACUGAAUUAUUCUAGCAACU